rnacentral:lncRNA from 1 species
CAAUGUAUGUAUAUCACAAAAAUAUAUGCAUGUAUAUGUAUAUAUGUGCCGAAAAUUAAAUAAAAUAAAUAUAAACAAAUAGGUAAUAAUAAUAAUAAUAAUAAUAAUAAUAAUAAUAAUAAUAGGACUAAAUCAAAACGGAAACGAAAUCUCAGGGCUGAAAUCAAAAAUGAAAUAGAGUAAAGGAUUAAAAUGUGAGGCGCGCGAAAAGGGAAGGACUGAAAAGGGAA